AGGGGCGUAGUACAACGACAGUAUAGCGGUCUCCAAAACCGCAGACCAUGGUUCAACUCCAUGCGCCUCUGCCA
rnacentral:tRNA from 1 species